rnacentral:rRNA from 1 species
UAAGGAAUAUUGCUCAAUGGGAGAAAUCCUGAAGCAGCAACGCCGCGUGGAGGAUGAAGGGUUUUUAACUUGUAAACUCCUGUAAAGAAGGAAAAAAUUCCCAUUGAUGGGAAAUGAUGGUACUUCUGGAGUAAGCCCCGGCUAACUACGUGCCAGCAGCCGCGGUAAUACGUAGGGGGCAAGCGUUGUCCGGAUUUACUGGGUGUAAAGGGUGCUCAGGCGGAUUUGUAAGUCAGAGGUGAAAUCUCACAGCUUAACUGUGAAACUGCCUUUGAUACUGCAAGCCUAGAGUAUGGAAGAGAGUGAUGGAAUAUCUGGUGUAGCAGUGAAAUGCGUAGAUAUCAGAUAGAACACCAAUGGCGAAGGCAGUCACUUGGUCCAUAACUGACGCUAAAGCACGAAAGCGUGGGUAGCAAACAGGAUUAGAUACCCUGGUAGUCCACGCCCUAAACGAUGAAUACUAGAUGUUGGCUUCGCAUGAAGUCAGUAUCUGAGCUAACGCAUUAAGUAUUCCACCUGGGAAGUACGAUCGCAAGGUUGAAACUCAAAUGAAUUGACGGGGUCAUAGCUGUUUCCUG